rnacentral:pre_miRNA from 13 species
CAGCCGGUAAGCCAUGAUUUUUUGAUGCCCUUCAUUCCACCGGAAUCUGUACUGGCAGAAAUCCGGAUUUCAGUGAAAUGAGGAACAUUAGAACAUGGAUCCAA